CGGGGUUGUGAUCAAUAAUUAAUGAUGGUUAUUUAAUAUUUGCUAAGUGCCAGUGCUGUGUUUGCCUCCAAAUCCCCCAGUGUACAUCUAGCCUUACUCAGCAUCCCUCGGCUGCAUUUUUAUUCUGAUGUGGGUCACAAAAGAUUUCACAGGGAGAAUAUGUAAGAAAAAAGAAAGGGUAAUCCUUUGUACAGAAAGAACAGAACCAUCCCACUGCUGGAAAAUCAGCUGUAACUGGGGAGAAAAUUCUCCUUCCCAGCAGUGUGAUUUCAGGGCAGGCAGCUCCGUCAGCUCGAGAUGGCCAGAUCCAGGUUGGGAGCUGUUUUGGGAGUGCAUCUGUGCUGCUCCUCUGCCCCCAUGGAUUGGGGCUGAUUGCAGCAGGGCGGGGAAGAGUGAUGUGGCUGGAGAUUAAAAGAUGUGGAUAAUUUGGGUGCUGGGCAGGGCAGGCUCAUUGGUGCCUCUGCAGUGGUGUCAGUGCCGGGGGGCAGAAGGGACGGGAGGGCUCUGGUGUUCCUUUAUCCACGCAGAGGGAUGCAGGCACUAUUGCCAUGUGGUGGCUGGGGGCAGAACAAGGAAAAAACAACAUGUCACAGAGCAACAGCCAGAGCUGGGAGCAGAGCUGCAGGGCACUGGCAGUGCUCAGUGCUGGAGGAUGAAGCGGGAUGCAGCCUGCUCCAUGCCCGCCCCCAUAAAUCCUGCCUGCCCCAUUCAUCCCUCCCUCACUUUAGCUCUCACUCCUGCAGCUCAGUGCUGCCUUCGACCACGAGUUCCUGAGCGGGGCCGGCGUGUGAUGGAUGCGCAGCGUGGGCACAGGACGGAUGUGGGUUGGGUGUCAGUGUUAUUUGUUGCUGCCUGACUACAACAAAUCAAAUUUUUAAGCAAACUCUCAACGCUCCGUGGCCCUAUUGUUAUCUGGCUGCUGCUGGUGACUUGGACAAAUCACUUAAGCUUUGUGCUCGUGGUUUCUAUUUCGUGCCAGCCAGCUUUGUUAGCAUCCCAUCCCAGGCGUGUGUCACGCAGCGGUGGAGUUAAUCUCCUCUCUAUAGAGAGAGCAUUUGCUGUUCCCUGUGGAGGAUGCAUGCUGCUCUCUCUCCUUUGCUGCCCAGACUUCUUCUCCAAAUGUGCAGGGCAAGUGAGUAUCUCCAGCACUAGAUUAGAAGGCUGUUGCAGUGAGACAAUCCUUCUGCAACUAUUCUGCAACUAAAUUGUGUUUCCUGUGGAUGUGUUGCAGCACUGUGUUUUUAUGGCACGUGACCGUGAGCAGUCCGACUCUGUGCAGGAGUUCCCUGAAACCUCUCCAUCUAAGGGCAGGGGGUUUCUAUUUCCUUUGGCAGGGGAUUUGUUGAUGUUCCAUGAUGCUCACAGAGCUGGGAUGGAACUUGUAGGUGAGUGAUGUUGGAUUUCCCCAUCUCUUGCCUUCUUUGGAAGCUGUGUGCCACCAGCAGGCCCUGAGAUGGGACAUGCACCAACCAGCACCACAAGGUCCUGGAGCUGGGGGGCAACAUGGCCCCACCAUCCCAACCCCUGGUUAUUGCCCCUUCUUAAGACACAGAGUGGGACUUUGCCGUGAGACUUUGGGUGGUGUGGGGAGGGAUCAGAGUCUCGGGUUCUGAAUGGCCAACUCAUCCCUGCCAAGGAGGUGCUGUUAUAUGGUGGCUUCCUGCCAGGCACAGCCACCCCCCUCCAAGACAAUCACCAGCUUAGAUGCCACAAUGAGGAUACACUGCUAUUUUUAAUGUUUUGGGCUCUUAUUUUAUUUUUCCCUUGUUGCUGGAGCCCAUUGCCCACAGUGGCAUUUCUCCCCAGCCCAUUCCUGCUGCUUCUCCCAUCCCAUGAUUGCAGCCAUAAUUCUUCAUGGACAGAAGCUGACUUUAGCACAAGUCUCCUUUGAUCACAGGGAGCCUUAUCUGGUCCCUGAGACAAACGCAUCCCAGGGAGAUGGCAGAAAUUAGGUCAGUUCUGCACCACAGCUUCCCCUUCUGCUGUGCAGGGCUGCCGUCUUGCACCCACCAGCCUCCCCUCUGUGGCAGCUGGAGGCUGGCGUGGCUCUCUCCUUUAUCUCAGGGUUAUCAGCCAGCUGUGAAGCCCAGGGGCUGCCUCAAACCCCUCCUGCUCUGCUCACCACCCCAGGUUUGGUUACCCCAGUUGGUCCCCAUGCCACUCAUGCCACCCCUAAACAAAGGGAAGCAGGGCUUGGCUCAGCAGGCAGGAGCCCCCAGCAGCACGCAGUGCAGCUCCAACCUUUUGUGCAGCUCAUUAACAGCAAAUACUAAAGAGAAGGAGGGCAGAGGCAUUAUGGAGCAAUUUAUAUGUAAAUGUCUGAAGUAUCAAAUAAAAGCUAGCCCACUGGCAUUCAUUAGGAAAAAAAAAAAAGAAAAAACAUUAUUGAAUU
rnacentral:lncRNA from 1 species